rnacentral:lncRNA from 1 species
UUGAAUAUUGGAACGCUGCGACUGAAAUCAGCGACCAAAAAUUGUUCAUGAUUUUCUGCUUCGUUAAUCACUUAACCGAGAAAAGGAGACGCAACGACAUAAAUUAUCAAAGCGCUACGGUGCUUCCGGUGUGGCCAUAAAAACCAGCGUCGCUAUUAUUCUUUUCAUUCUCUCCUCAGCGACAGAAAACAUAAAUUUUCU